rnacentral:lncRNA from 1 species
UGGCAGAGUCCCAAGGGUGCAUGCACUCUCCCCCAGGACCUUUUCGUGGGGACACAGCAGCUGGGCCCUCCCUGGGGUGCGGGGUGGGAGAGUCUGAGGUCCUGUCUCUGCAGCACCAAACUGGAACAGGUGCAGGCGCACUUGGGCACCGUGUCCCUGCUGGGUGUCGGCGGGAGCCCCGUGAAGCUGGGGCUGCGAAGCGUGGCCCUGCACCCCCGCUACAACCCAGGAAUCCUGGACUUUGACGUGGCCUUGCUGGAGUUGGCCCAGCCAUUGGUCUUCAACAAGUACAUCCAGCCAGUCUGUCUCCCGCUGGCCAUCCACAAGUUCCCCGUGGGCCGGAAGUGUAUGAUCUCGGGAUGGGGCAACAUGCAGGAGGGAAACGGUGAGCACAUCCCAGAGAGGGAAUGAUGCGGUUGGCUUCCCUCACCUGGGUCCUAAACCGCUCCUUCCUUUGUGCUGACCCCGCACGCUAAGAACCACUCCUAGGGUCUUCAUAUGGGCCCUCAUUUGUGUGUAUAAAUAAAGUUUUAUUGGC